UCCCUGGUGACUCAGAUGGUAAAGAAUCUACCUGCAAUGCAGAAGACCCAGGUUCAAUCCCUGGGUUGGGAA
rnacentral:tRNA from 1 species